ensembl:ncRNA W06A7.6 ncRNA
GUGACUGAAGAGGCAACAGCAAAAGCGGAAUAUAUCGCGACGAGAAAAGUGACGGGGAGUCGAACGGCCGCGUAUUUGUCUCCACCCUGUCUCUCUGCGGUCACCGUAAUCGGCAACCGAUCAACGUCCAACGCCCUCCGCGCAACAAAAACUAUCUCCGCGGCCCAGUGUCUGCGUUGCUCAAAUCUUCACACUCUCUAGUUGCAUUUGCAGUUUUGAGAC